CUGUUAUGAAGUCCCUCGUCGGUUUUCCUUCUCCGGUGGCCAAAACCCUUAUCGCCUCCACUCCUUUCUCUCUCUCGUUCUCUGUCUCUCUCCCCCCAGGUUAGUGUUAGGGUUUCGGACACCGAAGGGGGAAGAUAUGGUGGCGGACAAGGGGAAGAAGUCGAAGGUAGCGGAGCGAGGGGAGGAGCAGGAUUCCGAUCACGUUGACGGAGAGCUCGUGCUGUCCAUCGAGAAGCUUCAGGAGAUUCAAGACGAGCUCGAGAAGAUUAAUGAGGAAGCAAGUGAUAAAGUUUUGGAGGUGGAACAGAAAUAUAACGAGGUUCGCAGACCUGUCUACAUUAAACGGAAUGAAAUCAUCCAAUCCAUUCCAGACUUUUGGUUAACUGCGUUCCUGAGUCAUCCUGCUCUUAGCGAUCUUCUUACCGAGGACGACCAAAAGAUUUUCAAGUACUUGGUUUCGUUAGAUGUUGAAGAUUGUAAAGAUGUGAAAUCAGGCUACUCCAUUGUAUUUAACUUCUCUCCUAACCCAUAUUUUGAGGACACAAAGCUUGUGAAGACAUAUUCCUUCACCGAGGAAGGAACUACUAAUAUAACCGGUACGACUAUCAAGUGGAAGGAGGGUAUGGAUAUUGCCAAUGGUAAUGGUCAUGAGAAGAAGGGAAGCAAGCGACCCCUUACUGAGGAAAGUUUCUUUAGUUGGUUUGGUGAAACUGAACUGAAAAAUUUCUCAGAUGGAGUAACAGAUGAGGUGGCAGAGAUUAUCAAGGAAGAUUUAUGGCCCAACCCUUUGAAAUAUUUUAAUAAUGAGGCUGAUGAGGAGGAUUUUGAUGGAGAUGAAGAUGAUGAAGAGGUAAAUGUCUCACUUGUUUGAGUUUUAAACGAAGCUAGCCAGUUUCUGAUGCUGCUGCUGCUGUUGACUUAGUCAAAGGGAAGGGAUCUGAAGAUGAUGAGGAUGGCGACCAAGAUGAUGAUGAAGAGGAGGAUGAUGAGGAUGAUAGUUAAUCCCUUGUAGCUUCUUUCAUUUUGGCUUCCACCACUUGGCUGUGGCGAGUGCAAGGCAAGCUUAUGACCAUUGAAGGGCUCUUGACUCAAGCGGGCUGACUUUUGAUCAUGCUUUAAGCUUUGUAGUUGUCAAUUUUUGUACUUGGGGAGUUUCAUGAGCCCUAGUUAUAGCUGGUGGCGUGUCUAAAGCUAGGAGUUUAUUUACUGAUGUGGGUAUUAAAUGUUUGAUCUUGGACUUAUAGCAUCUCCGUAUCAAGAAUCCAGGACUUUGUAUGGGCAGCUGCUGCAUCAUUUUUUAUGAACUUGUUUAGUUUUACAUCAAUUUAAUCUGAUCUCGUUUCCUCUGUCUUUUA